UGGUAAAAAAAAAUAUUGGUAAGGGCGGCAAAUUUUCAGUAAGCCCACUUUUCAAUUUCUAGUUCGGUCUCGAUUUGGAUAUUAUUUAAACUGUCAUAAUACUUAUUCUGCCGGUCAUGUGUCCGUAUCGAUUGUGACGAUGCGGUUAUCUUCAACCGUCGAUCUGGAAUGGUGGCAGCGGCUCGAACGAGGCUGCUACAUCCGUUCUCUAAGGUCUUUGGGGACCACGCCCUGUUAAAACGUCGAUGCCUACACUAUUAUACGCGCUACUGCGCAAUCGAGGCGACUCAUUUAGAUCUAUUUCACGAGGCUUGAACGUUAUAGCUAAAUACGUCUAAGGACUUUUUUGCAAUGAUCUCUAUAUGUUAUCGUAUUAAAAAAAACGUGUCGUGAGCUAAUAGAGUAUCCAACCUUAUACAGAUUAAAAAAAUGAUGACUCAAAA